GCACCGGUGGUGGAAUUGGUAGACACGCCAUCUUGAGGGGGUGGUGUCCGUAGGACGUGCGAGUUCGAGUCUCGCCUGGUGCACCA
rnacentral:tRNA from 8 species